rnacentral:rRNA from 1 species
GCGUGUGUGAAGAAGGUCUUCGGAUUGUAAAGCACUUUCGGCGGGGACGAUGAUGACGGUACCCGCAGAAGAAGCCCCGGCUAACUUCGUGCCAGCAGCCGCGGUAAUACGAAGGGGGCUAGCGUUGCUCGGAAUUACUGGGCGUAAAGGGCGCGUAGGCGGCUCUGUGAGUCGGGCGUGAAAUUCCUGGGCUCAACCUGGGGACUGCGUUCGAUACGGCAGGGCUAGAGGACGGAAGAGGGUCGUGGAAUUCCCAGUGUAGAGGUGAAAUUCGU